rnacentral:rRNA from 1 species
GGGUCAGUAGGUUGGUCGUGCCACCGGUACGUACUGGUCUCACUGAUUCCUCCUUCCUGAAGAACUGUAAUGCCAUUAAUUUGGUGUUGCGGGGAAACAGGACUGUUACUUUGAAAAAAUUAGAGUGUUUAAAGCAAGCUAACGCUUGAAUACAUUAGCAUGGAAUAAUGAAAUAGGACGAUCGAUCCUAUUUUGUUGGUUUCUAGGAUUGACGUA